GAAAUGUAGUGUGCAAGAUGCAUAUUGGAAUAAUAAGUAUGUAAUGUGUAGAGAAGUGGGUGAGUGGCCAAAGUGGGGAUGACCCC